rnacentral:rRNA from 1 species
AACGAACGCUGGCGGCAGGCCUAACACAUGCAAGUCGAACGCUCCGCAAGGGGAGUGGCGCACGGGUGAGUAACACGUGGGAACCUACCUUCUGGUACGGAACAACCAAGGGAAACUUUGGCUAAGACCGUAUACGACCUCCGGGUGAAAGAUUGAUCGCCGGAAGAGGGGCCCGCGUCCGAUUAGGUAGUUGGUGAGGUAACGGCUCACCAAGCCUUCGAUCGGUAGCUGGUCUGAGAGGAUGACCAGCCACACUGGGACUGAGACACGGCCCAGACUCCUACGGGAGGCAGCAGUGGGAAUAUUGGACAAUGGGCGCAAGCCUGAUCCAGCCAUGCCGCGUGAGUGAUG